rnacentral:rRNA from 1 species
CAGUAGCCACGGUAAUACGAAGGGGGCUAGCGUUGUUCGGAAUCACUGGGCGUAAAGCGCACGUAGGCGGACUUUUAAGUCAGGGGUGAAAUCCCAAGGCUCAACCUUGGAACUGCCUUUGAUACUGGAAGUCUUGAGUUCGGGAGAGGUGAGUGGAACUGCGAGUGUAGAGGUGAAAUUCGUAGAUAUUCGCAAGAACACCAGUGGCGAAGGCGGCUCACUGGCCCGAUACUGACGCUGAGGUGCGAAAGCGUGGGGAGCAAACAGGAUUAGAGACCCGCGUAGUCCCUGUCUCUUAUAC